AGUGGCAUCAUGCCCGAGGGCGCUGGGGUCAGGGUCGCGGCUUUUCCGGACGUUCGUCGGCCAAGAGUAAGGAAAGCACAUCCCGGAAAGGUGGAAAGACUAUCUCCCAGUGGGACAGCGGAUGCCUGGGACUCCUUGCAUUGCUUUCAAAGUUCCUUUAGAAAAGAGUUUUGAAAAGAAUCUUGCUCCAGAAGAAUGUUUUUCCCCCUUGGAUCUUUUUUUAACAAACUCCAAGAAUAGAGUGAAGAACUU